CGCUUCUUUUCCCACCGGAGCUUGCUCCACCGGGAAAAGAGGAGUGGCGAACGGGUGAGUAACACGUGGGUAACCUGCCCAUCAGAAGGGGAUAACACUUGGAAACAGGUGCUAAUACCGUAUAACAAUCGAAACCGCAUGGUUUCGUUUUGAAAGGCGCUUUACGGUGCCGCUGAUGGAUGGACCCGCGGUGCAUUAGCUAGUUGGUGAGGUAACGGCUCACCAAGGCCACGAUGCAUAGCCGACCUGAGAGGGUGAUCGGCCACAUUGGGACUGAGACACGGCCCAAACUCCUACGGGAGGCAGCAGUAGGGAAUCUUCGGCAAUGGACGAAAGUCUGACCGAGCAACGCCGCGUGAGUGAAGAAGGUUUUCGGAUCGUAAAACUCUGUUGUUAGAGAAGAACAAGGGUGAGAGUAACUGUUCACCCCUUGACGGUAUCUAACCAGAAAGCCACGGCUAACUACGUGCCAGCAGCCGCGGUAAUACGUAGGUGGCAAGCGUUGUCCGGAUUUAUUGGGCGUAAAGCGAGCGCAGGCGGUUUCUUAAGUCUGAUGUGAAAGCCCCCGGCUCAA
rnacentral:rRNA from 1 species